CAGACUCCUACGGGAGGCAGCAGUGAGGAAUAUUGCGCAAUGGGCGAAAGCCUGACGCAGCGACGCCGCGUGGAGGAUGACGGCCUUCGGGUUGUCACCUCCUGUUAGGUGGGAAGAAAUCCCCAGCUCUAAUACAGUUGGGGGAUGACGGUACCAUCAGAGAAAGCACCGGCUAACUUCGUGCCAGCAGCCGCGGUAAUCCGAGGGGUGCUAGCGUUAUCCGGAAUUACUGGGCGUACAGGGUGUGUAGACGGCAUGUUAGGUCGACUGUUAAAUACUUCGGCCCAACCGAAGAGAUGCGGUCGACACUGGCGUGCUACAGGGUGCACGACCGACGUGGACUUCUCGGCAGUACGGUAAAAUGCGUAGAUCUCGAGAGGAGCACCGAUUGCGAAUGCAGCUUCUUGGUCCAUUCCUGACGUUGAACCCCGAAAGCGUGGGGAGCAAACAGGANUAGAUACCCUGGUAGUCCACGCCGUAAACGAUGAUCACUAGACGUCCGAUUUGUUUUACAGAUUCGGUGUCGUAGCUAACGCGUUAAGUGAUCCGCCUGGCGAGUACGGUCGCAAGACUAAAACUUAAAGGAAUUGACGGGGGUCCGCACAAGCGGUGGAACAUGUGGUUUAAUUCGACACUACGCGAGGAACCUUACCUAGGCUUGACAUGCAUUUGACAGCCGUAGAAAUACGGUCUUCUGAACUUGUUCAGACAGGUGCACAGGUGCUGCAUGGCUGUCGUCAGCUCGUGUCGUGAGAUGUUAGGUUAAGUCCUCUAACGAGCGCAACUCCUACUACCAGUUGCAACUGCGUGAGCAAGGCACUCUGGUGGACUGCCCUGGGAAACCAGGAGGAAGGUGGGAAUGACGUCAAGUCAGCAUGGUCCUUAUGUCUAGGGCUACGCACGUGUUACAAUGGCCAGUAUAACGAGCUGCAAGCCCG
rnacentral:rRNA from 1 species